CCUACGGGUGGCAGCAGUGAGGAAUAUUGGUCAAUGGACGCAAGGCUGAACCAGCCAAGUAGCGUGAAGGAUGACUGCCCUACGGGUUGUAAACUUCUUUUAUCAAGGAAUAAAGUGAGGCACGUGUGCCUUUUUGUAUGUACUUUAUGAAUAAGGAUCGGCUAACUCCGUGCCAGCAGCCGCGGGAAUACGGAGGAUCCGAGCGUUAUCCGGAUUUAUUGGGUUUAAAGGGAGCGUAGAUGGGUUGUUAAGUCAGUUGUGAAAGUUUGCGGCUCAACCGUAAAAUUGCAGUUGAUACUGGUAGUCUUGAGUACAGUUGAGGUAGGCGGAAUUCGUGGUGUAGCGGUGAAAUGCUUAGAUAUCACGAAGAACUCCGAUUGCGAAGGCAGCUUACUAAGCUGCCACUGACAUUGAUGCUCGAAAGUGUGGGUAUCAAACAGGAUUAGAUACCCCUGUAGUC
rnacentral:rRNA from 1 species